rnacentral:lncRNA from 1 species
AAAGUUCAUGUUAUAAUAUGAUAAGUGCUUGUUUUAGGACACUGAGCUUGUCCUUGGGAAACCAUCAAAUUAUGUUGGUGAAGUGGUUUCCCCUCCAACACCAACCUAAGCGUGCCUAUAUCAAGAUCGACUCAACGAUAUCUACAAUAUUUAUUAUAGACAUAUGCACAGAUGUUGACACCAGAAGUGGCAAACGGUUAUACCGCAAGCGUACGGUAGUCAAUGUAGCCUUCACCGGGAGUAUUCCAGGUAUCAUGAUUUCCACGGGGAACGCGAAGUGAAUUAACUAGGCUUU